rnacentral:miRNA from 1 species
UGGGUCUCCUGGAGAAAGGUC